AAUCCAGAGAAGAUGGACAAAACCAGGCCUGUCAGGAUACUUGAUGCCAGGUGCGUUGGUGUAACUGUCAACUUGUGAAAAUGCCAUAGGAAGAUGGGUGCAGCCUCCAUCCCAUGAGGCCCUUGGAAACACCUGGUAGGAGAAAGUGGUUGCCAAGGAAGUGACCUCACUUCACUUCUUUGAAGGUAGUGACCCCACCCAACUUCAUUGUUGAUGGAACUCUCUGAACUUGGAAUCCAGGUAGCUAGGCACCCAGAGCCACAAACAGUCCCAGUCUGCUUACUUCUUUGGACUCAACAAGUGCAGAGUUAUACUUUCUUGAUAUCUACUGAUCUGUGGAUUGACAAAUUCCAGAAAAGCACCAGGAAGGGCCCUUUCCUGAGAAUGAAAGUACUUGAUCAUCACUGGGUCAUGGCAACUUCAGCGAGUUUGCACAAGGAGACCAGAGGUGACACAGGACAAGCAAUUGCAGCUAAAAGUGGGACAGAAACAAGACCUACUGGCUGAGCAAGGAAGCUAGAGCAGAAUAUAAGCCAUUGGAACAGCCCCCUUGAACUUAUUGAAGGUCAUGGAUCAUUUCUCAGAUCAGUAUCUGCACAGACCACCAAGCAAACAGUCCUCUCAGUUGCUCCAACAGUUCAGACAGAACAAAAGAGUCCAAGCUCCUUCCAGAUAAAGCAAAAGUUCUGUUUGCUUUCCAGAGUGAAGAAUCACUCAUACCUAAAUUCACUACCAAAUUAACACUUAUCUUUGUGCCCAUCUGGGCCAUUCUGGAAUGCUCUACUGAAUCAAAAACCUACCAGUCAACCCUACAUAUAAAAACAUGACUCUUUACAAACAAAAUAGUGUUUUAAAAACAGAAACAAAGCACUAUUUAACAUCUCUGAAUGCCUGCUAAGACCAUGUAUUCACAUUCCAUAAAAAUUAAUAUAGCUCUCUAUUGACAAGAAAUUUCUUAAGAGAAAAGCAAGUUCAUACUUAUAAGUGGGUAAUGAACUAAAAAUCUCAUUAACACACUUUAUGGAAAUAAGAGUAACCAAAACAAAUACAAAUAAACUGCAUUAUUGUUAAUACUCUCUCUUAAGGUCAUGAGAAGAACAAAAUUUUAUUCGAAAACUUAAUUGGGCACCUAGUGAAGUUAUUGCUGCUCUACAGGCACUGUGGAAGAUAGAAACAAAGAUGAGUUUAUUUCUGAAUUUGGCCGGUGUGGGAAAUGGUUCCACUUCAUGCAAACACUGCUGAAGAGAAAAGGCUGAAGAAGGAGAAAAAGAGGAGACUGAGGCUAUGCUGUACCAAUACCUUGGCAGAGCACAGCAGAGGAAUGUCUGGCAGGAUCCAGGCUACAUGCCCAGCUCAACACCUUGAAGAUGCUUUGAAAGGAUUUUCCCAAUGCCCAUGCCCAAGAGGGGUCCUCAAAUACAUAAUAUUUGCCAUUAGCACAAUUUGCUAAGAGAACAGAAAAAAAAGUCUAACAAAGCCACAAAAUAUUGGUUCUCUUUUUCUGAAAUAAAGAAUUUUAG